GCUCGGCUAGCUCAGUUGGUUAGAGCGUCGUACUAAUAUUGUCCUCCCUGGAUUAUAUCAAGUCAUGCGAAGGUCCUCAGUUCAAUCCUGUGGCUGAGCA
rnacentral:tRNA from 1 species